UACGUAGGGUGCGAGCGUUGUCCGGAAUCAUUGGGCGUAAAGAGCGUGUAGGCGGCCAGGUAGGUCUGGUGUGAAAACUCGAGGCUUAACCUCGAGAUGUCAUCGGAAACCAUCUGGCUAGAGUCCGGAAGAGGAGAGUGGAAUUCCUGGUGUAGCGGUGAAAUGCGCAGAUAUCAGGAAGAACACCAAUGGCGAAAGCAGCUCUCUGGGACGGUACUGACGCUGAGACGCGAAAGCGUGGGGGAGCGAACAGG
rnacentral:rRNA from 1 species